rnacentral:rRNA from 1 species
UGCGUCCUACGGGAGGCAGCAGUGGGGAAUAUUGCACAAUGGGGGAAACCCUGAUGCAGCGACGCCGCGUGGGUGAAGAAGUAUUUCGGUAUGUAAAGCUCUAUCAGCAGGGAAGAAAAUGACGGUACCUGACUAAGAAGCCCCGGCUAACUACGUGCCAGCAGCCGCGGCAAUACGUAGGGGGCAAGCGUUAUCCGGAUUUACUGGGUGUAAAGGGAGCGUAGACGGUGAUGCAAGUCAG